UGCCAGCAGCCGCGGUAAUACGGAGGGGGUUAGCGUUGUUCGGAAUUACUGGGCGUAAAGCGUACGUAGGCGGCUUUUUAAGUCAGAGGUGAAAUCCCGGGGCUCAACCCCGGAACUGCCUUUGAAACUGGAAAGCUAGAAUAUUGGAGAGGUAAGUGGAAUUCCGAGUGUAGAGGUGAAAUUCGUAGAUAUUCGGAAGAACACCAGUGGCGAAGGCGACUUACUGGACAAUUAUUGACGCUGAGGUGCGAAAGCGUGGGGAGCAAACAGGAUUAGAUA
rnacentral:rRNA from 1 species